rnacentral:rRNA from 1 species
AUUGAACGCUGGCGGCAGGCUUAACACAUGCAAGUCGAACGAGUGGCGGACGGGUGAGUAAUGCUUGGGAAUCUAGCUUAUGGAGGGGGAUAACUACGGGAAACUGUAGCUAAUACCGCGUACCAUAGGAUGAGCCCACGUGGGAUUCGGUAGUUGGUAAGGUAAAGGCUCACCAAGCCGACGAUCUCUAGCUGGUCUGAGAGGAGGACCUGCCACACUGGGACUGAGACACGGCGCAGACUCCUACGUGAGGCAGCAGGGGGGAAUCGUGCGCAAUGGGGACAACCUGACGCAGCCAUGCCGCGUGAAUAAAGAAGGCCUUCGGGUUGUAAAGUUCUUUCUGUAGCGAGGCGUUAACUACAGAAGAAGCACCGGCUAACUCCGUGCCAGCAGCCGCGGUAAUUC